rnacentral:rRNA from 1 species
AAAUUGAAGAGUUUGAUCAUGGCUCAGAUUGAACGCUGGCGGCAGGCCUAACACAUGCAAGUCGAACGGUAACAGGGAACAGCUUGCUGUUUCGCUGACGAGUGGCGGACGGGUGAGUAAUGUCUGGGAAACUGCCUGAUGGAGGGGGAUAACUACUGGAAACGGUAGCUAAUACCGCAUAACGUCGCAAGACCAAAGAGGGGGACC